rnacentral:lncRNA from 1 species
AUUAGAGCAGGGGAUUCAGAAUUCCCUUUUACAUAUUUCUGCUCCCAGAAACCGUACGAAGAAUCAUAUAACCCAGUAGUGGAAGAGAAUACUGAGACAUGGGGACUGACUAGAUGUUACCGCAGGAAGCAGGUUGAGAUAAGGAAUAGCUUCCCACUGGGACAAAGAAAAACGUUGUGUCCCAGGAACGUGAAGAUUUCGCAAUCAAAGGUCUCUAUGUUGAAGAUGUUAGCAAUGAAUGGGAGCAUUAGAUUGUCCUUCAUUUUAAUCAUUGCUCAUCAAAGCCAGCAUUGCCACCAGCCAAAUGGUAAGCAUCUUUCAGUUUCUCUAUCACCUGAGAGGUAUGAAUGUCUGUCAUACCUGCUUCCAAAGUACAGCCCAGUGGCACAAGGCUCUUGCAAAACCUCAACAGGUAGAGAGUAGAGUGCAUGGCAUCAUUUCUGAUGCUGCAGGGAACGCCACAUGUUGAAUUCACUGAGAUUUUCUGUUCUGGCCUUAGGAGCUUUGGACAACUGGCCUAAUAAGAAAUUUUGAUGAAAAUAGUUUUUCUCAUUAUCCAUAUACCAUAAUCAUCUCCUCCUAUUGUAGCAUAUAACCAAUAGGUCUCUACUGAGG